rnacentral:rRNA from 1 species
CAGGAUGAACGCUAGCUACAGGCUUAACACAUGCAAGUCGAGGGGCAGCAUUGGAGUAGCAAUACUCAGAUGGCGACCGGCGCACGGGUGAGUAACACGUAUCCAACCUGCCGCUUACUCGGGGAUAGCCUUUCGAAAGAAAGAUUAAUACCCGAUGGUAUAAAGAGUUCGCAUGUUCUCUUUAUUAAAGAAUUUCGGUAAGCGAUGGGGAUGCGUUCCAUUAGAUUGUUGCGGGGUAACGGCCCACCAAGUCUACGAUGGAUAGGGGUUCUGAGAGGAAGGUCCCCCACAUUGGAACUGAGACACGGUCCAAACUCCUACGGGAGGCAGCAGUGAGGAAUAUUGGUCAAUGGACGAGAGUCUGAACCAGCCAAGUAGCGUGAAGGAUGACUGCCCUAUGGGUUGUAAACUUCUUUUAUAAGGGAAUAAAGUGAGGGACGUGUCCCUUUUUGUAUGUACCUUAUGAAUAAGGAUCGGCUAACUCCGUGCCAGCAGCUGC